CAAGGUCCAGUCCCAUACUGCUGCAGACAUCCACCAUUACAGGCCUACAACCAGCAGGGACAGUCUGUUCAGAGUUGCUGAGCUCCAUAGCAAAGCAGAUUUCCUCCAUCUAUAGAGCCUUGGAAUGAGACUUUCCUGCUACACUGGUACACCUGAAUUCAGCUGGAGAUAAAGGUUCGGAGCUGACCUGCUGGAAAGAAGCUCUGCGGGGAAGGACCUGGGUGUCCUGGUGGACAACAGUUCACCAUGAGUCACCAGUGUGCCCUUGUGGCCAAGAAGACCAAUGGUAUCCUGGGAUGCAUUAAAAAGAACAUGGCCAGCAGGUCAAGGGAGGUGAUCCUCCCACUCUACUCUGCUCUAAAGAGGCCACAUCUGGAGUAUUGUGUCCAGUACUGGGCUUUCCAAUUCAAGAAAGACAGGGAACUACUGGAGAGAGUUCAGCAGAGGCUAACAAAGAUGAUGACGGGCCCAUAUCAUCUCCAAUGUGAGGAAAGGCUGAGUAACCUGGGACUGUGCAGCCAGAAGGAGACUGAAAUGGGAUCUUGUCAGUGUUUGCAAACAUCUAAUGGACAGGAACCAGGUGGAUGGGACCAGGCUCUUUUCAAAGAUGUCCAGUGACAGAACAACGGGUAACGAGCACUAACUGGAACACAGGAUGUUGCAUAUGAUCAUAAUAAAUACUUCUUUACUUUGAGGAUGGCAGAGCAAUGGAACAGGAUGCCAUGAGAGGGUAUGGAGUCUUCUCCGGAGAUAUUCAAAACCUUCAUAAAUGCUUUCCUGUGUACCUACUGUAGGGAAUUUGCUAUAGCAGUGGGCUGGACUGGGUGAUUUCCAGGUGUUCCAUCUAAUCUCUACAAUUCUGUGAUUCUGUGAUUUUUACAUCGUAAAAGGUACAGAUCUUGAGAGAAAUGUGGAAGACAAGUGGAUAGACAAGUUGACAGAAAUAUGAAGGAUUAAAUGCUGUUAGAAAGAAGGUAAUAUAAACAUUUAUAGGUUUUUUUUUUUUGUCAUCUCAUAUUUUUAUCCCUAAGCUGUCAUUCUCCUGAACUGCUGAUGGCUUGCUGUGUUUUUGAAGGGAGAAAGGACAAUGCUGUUGAUAAAAUCUUUCUAAUUUUUCCUACUGUGCCAAUGUCUUUCAACUUACAGUAACAGAUGGU
ensembl:lncRNA